rnacentral:rRNA from 1 species
AAUAGAUACCCCGGUAGUCCACGCCGUAAACGUUGGGCGCUAGAUGUGGGGACCAUUCCACGGUUUCCGCGUCGUAGCUAACGCAUUAAGCGCCCCGCCUGGGGAGUACGGCCGCAAGGCUAAAACUCAAAGGAAUUGACGGGGGCCCGCACAAGCGGCGGAGCAUGCGGAUUAAUUCGAUGCAACGCGAAGAACCUUACCAAGGCUUGACAUAUGCGAGAACGCUCUAGAAAUAGAGAACUCUUUGGACACUCGUAUACAGGUGGUGCAUGGUUGUCGUCAGCUCGUGUCGUGAGAUGUUGGGUUAAGUCCCGCAACGAGCGCAACCCUCGUCGCAUGUUGCCAGCACGUAAUGGUGGGAACUCAUGUGAGACUGCCGGGGUCAACUCGGAGGAAGGUGGGGAUGACGUCAAAUCAUCAUGCCCCUUAUGUCUUGGGCUUCACGCAUGCUACAAUGGCCGGUACAAAGGGCUGCGAUACCGUAAGGUGGAGCGAAUCCCAAAAGCCGGUCUCAGUUCGGAUUGGGGU